GACCCUGUACUAAGUGUUGAGCUUCAGGCAAACGACGUGCUUUUAACCACUGGAAGCGACGUGCGGAGUGUGACGGUGGGAGGAGCUGGAAGGAGAGAGCCGCCAUUGAGGAAUUUCAGCAUAGCAUGUAGACAAAGUUUCAUGGGGCGAGUCUGCCAGGCCACAGCCCUUUCAUUUGAACCGGAACGCAGAAAGAUGAACCGUGAAAAGAAAAGAUUUGGCAUCGAUGGCAGAGCCAUGGAGAGAAGACAUAACCUGGAAAGACAGCAAUUGGGAGGUUUGUGAAGUGGGAGAGACCAGAAUGAAGUGUCACCAAUAAGGUCAUGCAACCUUACAUCACACCGAGUGUGAAACAAAAUUAAAAGAAAACUCGAAUCACUUAACAAGGAUAUAGAUCCUAUUAACUGGCCAAUGUUGAAAUUAAACAACUUCAAAUGGGGUGACUCAAA